GCUUACGACCAUACCACCAUGAGCACGCCCGAUCUCGUCUGAUCUCGCAAGCUAAGCAGAGUUAGGCUUGGUUAGUACUUGGAUGGGAGACCGCCUGGGAAUACCAGGUGUUGUAAGCC
ensembl:rRNA 5S_rRNA 5S ribosomal RNA